CCUACGGGUGGCAGCAGUGAGGAAUAUUGGUCAAUGGGCGGGAGCCUGAACCAGCCAAGUCGCGUGAGGGAAGACGGUCCUAUGGAUUGUAAACCUCUUUAGGCGGGGAGCAAUGCCGGGCACGCGUGCCCGGAGGGAGAGUACCCGCAGAAUAAGCAUCGGCUAACUCCGUGCCAGCAGCCGCGGUAAUACGGAGGAUGCGAGCGUUAUCCGGAUUUAUUGGGUUUAAAGGGUGCGUAGGCGGUUUUUUAAGUUAGUGGUUAAACGUCGGGGCUUCACCUUGAUUUGCCAUUAAUACUGUAAGACUCGAGUUCAGACGAGGUAGGCGGAAUAAGUUAAGUAGCGGUGAAAUGCUUAGAUAUAACUUAGAACUCCGAUAGCGAAGGCAGCUUACCAGACUGCGACUGACGCUGAAGCACGAGAGCGUGGGUAGCGAACAGGAUUAGAUACCCUUGUAGUC
rnacentral:rRNA from 1 species